ACCAUCUGAUCCAACGUGCUAAGGUAGUGGAAGAGACCGGUUUAUGUGGACGUGAAUAAGAUACCAACAGUUGAGGAGUAGUAACCGCCACAUAGCGGGAUAGUGCAGCCACCAUGCAGAGUUUAGGAGCCUUUUGGAAAUAUGGGUAGCAUAGCAGAAAAUAGCAGUUGAGUUGGACUUGGUAUGUAUAGACACCGAAAAAGUCACCCCUUCCGGGGAAAAAUUGAACGCAUCGAUGUCAAAUGCCCGGACGUCGGAGACCCAACUAGACGAGGCACAAGAGUAGUGCAAACUUGGCCUGUAACUGUCGUAGUGAGAGGUCUCGAUUUUCUGGCCAGUCCUGGAUGAAGUCCAAAACCCUCUGCACAUCCCAGAGGGAAGUCUACAAACCAUCCAUUAUGGAUCCUAGCCAAUGGGAGUCCCUUGAAUGGGGACAUGAGCCGCUGAAAUGGCAGACAAUAACAAAUCUUUGUAAAAUAAUACAAUGUGAGCAAG